UACGGAGGGGGCUAGCGUUGUUCGGAAUUACUGGGCGUAAAGAGCACGUAGGUGGCGCAUCAAGUUAGAGGUGAAAGGCCUGGGCUCAACCUAGGAACUGCCUUUGAGACUGAUGUGCUAGAGUCCGGGAGAGGGUAGUGGAAUUCCCAGUGUAGAGGUGAAAUUCGUAGAUAUUGGGAAGAACACCAGUGGCGAAGGCGGCUGCCUGGCCCGGCACUGACACUGAGGUGCGAAAGCGUGGGGAGCAAACAGG
rnacentral:rRNA from 1 species